GCUAGGGUUAGGGUUAGGGUUAGGGUUGGAGCUAGGGUUAGGGUUAGGGUUAGGGUUGGAGCUAGGGUUUAGGGUUAGGGUUGGAGCUAGGGUUAGAGCUAGGGUUAGGGUUAGGGUUGGAGCUAGGGUUAGGGUUAGUUAGGGUUAGGGUUGGAGCUAGGGUUAGGGUUAGGGUUAGGGUUGGAGCUAGGGUUAGGGUUAGGGUUGGAGCUAGGGUUAGGGUUAGGGUUGGAGCUAGGGUUAGGGUUAGGGUUAGGGUUGGAACUAGGGUUAAAGUUAGGGUUAGGGUUGGAGCUAGGUUAAGGGUUAGGGUUAGGGUUGGAGCUAGGGUUGGGGAUAGGGUUGGAGCUAGG